UACGUGAGGGGCAAGCGUUGUCCGGAUUUAUUGGGCGUAAAGAGCGUGUAGGCGGUUUGGUAGGUCCGCUGUGAAAACUCGAGGCUCAACCUCGAGACGCCGGUGGAAACCAUCAGGCUAGAGUCCGGAAGAGGAGAGUGGAAUUCCUGGUGUAGCGGUGGAAUGCGCAGAUAUCAGGAGGAACACCGAUGGCGAAGGCAGGUCUCUGGGCCAUUACUGACACUGAGGAGCGAAAGUGUGGGGAGCGAACAGG
rnacentral:rRNA from 1 species